GUUCUCCGAGCGCUCCGGAUACUCACAAAGUAGGGGAGAGGUGCCACCGUCCGUCCCAACGCCCGGGGCUGGCCUCAGCCUGAUCCUCUUUGUAACACUUGCCUGUGCAAGAGCCGCAGACACCCACGUUUCCCCAGGAGGGUAGUGCCAUGUGCCUGCCAGCAAGUUACCCCUGGGAGGAGGGGGCUGUCUGUGCCCGCUUCUCAUUAAGGCAGGGGUGAGGGGGGCGGGGGAGCAAGCCAGAGGCCGCUGUGUGUGUGUGUGUAUGUGUGUGUGUGUGUGUGUGUGUGUGUGUGUGAGUGUGUGUGUUCAUCCUUCCUCUGACAGUGUGGAAGGGAUGAGGGAGACUGAAAACUGAGAAAUAUCAAUGCACCAGGAAUCCCACAACCGAAGUAUGUGCCCUGGCUUAACUGGACUCGAACCCUGGGCCCUUUACUCUAACCACUGAGCAAAGUGGCCAGGAGCCAAAGUGAGGCCCCUUUGGAUUCAGGAAAGCUCGGGGUUAACAUGGGGAUUC